rnacentral:rRNA from 1 species
CCCUUAGAUGUUCUGGGCUGCACGCGCGCUACACUGAAGCGUUCAACGAGUAUUCACCUUGCCCGGGAGGGUUGGGUAAUCUUUUGAAAACGCUUCGUGAUGGGGAUAGAUUAUUGCAAUUAUUAAUCUUCAACGAGGAAUUCCUAGUAAACGCAAGUCAUCAGCUUGCAUUGAUUACGUCCCUGCCCUUUGUACACACCGCCCGUCGCACCUACCGAUUGAAUGGUCCGGUGAAAUCUUCGGAUCUGAGAGAUGUCUGAUUAAUUUCGGACGCCUUUUGGAAAAGUUGUUUAAACCUUACCAUUUAGAGGAAGGUGAAGUCGUAACA